UACAGAGGGUGCAAACGUUGCUCGGAAUUAUUGGGCGUAAAGCGCAUGUAGGCGGCAUAGUAAGUUCGCUGUGAAAGCCCUUGGCUCAACCAAGGAAGUGCAGCGAAAACUGCUAAGCUCGAGUUCUGAAGAGGGUCGCGGAAUGGCCAGUGUAGAGGUGAAAUUCGUAGAUAUUGGCUAGAACACCAGUGGCGAAGGCGGCGACCUGGGAAGAUACUGACGCUGAGAUGCGAAAGCGUGGGGGAGCAAACAGG
rnacentral:rRNA from 1 species